UGGGCUCUGCAUCACCCCAUGG
rnacentral:miRNA from 1 species